GCCCUAUAUAUGUAAAAUUGUUUUUUAUACAGAUAAUGGAAAGUAUCAUCUGAGAGACGAAUUUGAAUUAUACUUAUUACAAAAUACAAAAUUCACCAUAUAGUAGGGUCUCACACGACUCACAAGAACAUUCCGUUAAAACCUAAACCUGAAAGUGAAGGGCCGUCCUUGAAAAGCGAAGAAAGCACUCUGUCUUUUUUGAACACGACACUAUAAAAAUUGGGCCUAGAAGCAUAGCGGGUUUUCCUAAACAGAACCUGCCAAAAAGUUUGAGCUAAGAUUUAUCAAAAAACAAUGUCACUUCUAGUUAGUCAUAUGGACCAACAGAAAGCAACUGUCCUAAUUAAUACAUUUGUCCCGCUGUCUUGGAUAGCUUGCAUGAAAAAAUAGAUAUUAAUUAGCCAACAUUUGCUACAUGAUACUAAAAAUAAAGUCACACUGGUGGCACAUACUAGAAAGGGUCCAAUCCAUUCUCACGGUCGUUCAGUGAUUUUCUAUCCAGCGAACGAUCCAACGUCAGUCGCCCACCCUUCUUCCUCCACUUCUCUUUCCAUCUACUUUUGACGUCAUCAUGAAAAAAAGCAAAAUAUUUAUUUCAAAUUACUAUAACUUUUGAAUGAUGUAUCUAUUUUUAAUUCUGUUUACACCGAUGUGUUCAACGUGACGAGGCAAACAAAACUAGACCCCACUUCUAUAUUUUUGAAGAUUUUUAUUUUUCUAGUAGCAAUUUAUGUAUAUUAACUUAUAACAUAUAAGUUAUAUUGCUAACUUAUUCUGCUAAGUUAUGCUGCUGACUUGUUCUGCUAAGUGUAUUGUAUAACUUCUGUUUGUGUAUAAUAACCGCGUAACUUUCUAUAAGCACUAGUGUAUUAGUUGUGUGACUUAUGUACAUAAGUUGUAUUGUGUAACUUAUGUCUCCCUCUAUUCCAAAUUAUAAAAUAUUUUGACAUUUCUACAUAUAUUGAUUUUGCUAUGUGUAUACAUAUAUAGUUGUGUCUAGAUACAUAGUAAAUUCAAUUUAGAAAAGUCAAUAUGCCUUAUAAUUUGAAAUAGUGGGAGUAAACUUUUGUACAUAAGUUAUAUACUAUAACUUUUUGAGAACGACUAAGUUAGCAAUGUUGAGUUAUUCCUUGAACUUAUGUUGUCUAGAAGCACUUCUAAGUUAGUACUGUUAAAUUUAUCGUGAAAGUUAUGCUUUUUAAUUCCGUUUUAUAAGUUAUGAGUACAUGAUUCUUAAAAAAAAUAAAAAAUAUAUUAAAGGGCGGGUGAUUUAGCAAAAGAAAGUGAAAAGAGAUUCGAAUGCCUCAAAAGAGAAAGAGGAACGAUUCUUGUUCUAUGCAAAAAUAGAAAGUAACAUAUACACUUUCCAAAAAAGGAAAGAAAAUGACUGUCUGAAAUUAACCGUUGCUUUCGCUUCUACUGAACGUUCGUGAAAUAGUGGCAUCGGUUGCCGUGGUUUGUGACAAAUUUCUAGAAGAAAAACUCCUAUUAAAAUAUUCAUUUCUUACUCGAAUGAGAGAACGAUGAUGAAAUAUCUUUUUUGCCCUGGCAUUUUUUACUCCUUUCUUAUUUUUUUUCUCCCUUGCAUGUCACACCCGGUUUUAAAGAACAAAACCAAGCAAGCCAUAUGUGUGCCCAGGAAGUCCACACAUAUAACAACAGAAAGGAAUAGUAUCAGAAAACAAUGUUAUAUAGCGAAAACAUACAUAUAAUAGACACUUACAUCAGAGUAUCGCGGAAUGAUAACUAAU
rnacentral:lncRNA from 1 species